rnacentral:SRP_RNA from 1 species
CGCGGCGCUGGAAUUGACGUUUCCUCCAUCCUCUGGUAUCCUUAACCCGCGACCGGGCGGGACCGGCGCGGCGGAAACCUUCGAACCCCGACAGGUCCGAGAGGAAGCAUCGGUAAGGAGGCCCUUCCGGGCGCCGCCGGCAAACCUGCCCGGUCGCAUUUUUAAGAGAACUCACCACG